ensembl:lncRNA
GAGCCACUGUGAAGAGAGGAGGAGAGUUGAAUAUGGAAACUAUGGAGGAAAUUAGCAAUGUUAACGCCCCAUUUGAUAUCAAAGGUCAUGAAAUUGUGCUCACGUUAACCUACCUGAUCAUGUGAUCUUUUUUCUAGAAACCUUUUUUAUCGGAGCAGAGAAUAUAGCCAAAAAGUUCAUCCAGGUUGAGAUUUUGUUGUGUCAGCCUAGCCGAGGGGCAGAGAGCUGAGGUGGUAGAACUGUUGGACUAUGGGAUUCAGCCUGGAAAAGAAAAGGAAGACUCUCAGAAGGCCAGUGAGAUUCCUAACCGCCAGUCCUACAAAAUGCCUGGAAGCUGUGGCAAAGGCCAAACCUGUGCCCUUUGCCAGCCUUGUGAAUUCAUCAUCGCUGGUUUUUAAGGAUGAGAACUCUACAGUCAGAAACAUGAAG